GUUCGGAUCCCCGACCUCAGUGUAGGUUCCCAUUUUGGUCUAACAGCCAUCGGUUUGCACCUGCACCUUUGAUCGAGUGACGAGGUAGGGUUUCUGAGUUCCUCCUCGGUGGCAUCCAAGAACGGAAAGGGAAUCGGGGAAGAACACCAAGGGAACCCUCGAACCGCCGGCGGCCCACCUUCGGAAUCGCAAUCGGUUUCGACAUGGCCGAGGCAGUAAACCCCCAUACACGAAUCCGAGAUGCUCGGGGGGCGACGGACAGAACCACCCGCCCCAUCCACCUCUCGAAGUAACAGGAGGAGAUGGAGAGAGAUUAAAAUCCUAAGAACAGAUAUUAUCUUCCGUUUAUAACUGUUUUCAGCUACCUGGAGAGGUCUGUCUGGUGAAUUUUGUGUAAUGAACAUUGCAUCCUUAAUGUGCAUUGCCUUGUCUGAAUCUGUUAUUGCUUGUCUUGAAAGUAGAUUCAUGAAGAUUGCAUAAUAUGGAACCAGAAAGGUGAAUGGUAUGCCAAUAUCUUUUAUGGAAAAUUAAUUAAAAAAUGAUGUGCAUGUCUUCAUAGGUGAAUAUAUCUAUUUGAACUCUCUUUUUUUACUUCCAAACUGACUAGUAUCUAUUAUGCAUAACAUCUUCUUGUACCUAUAUACUGAGUUUGAACAUGCAACAUGUUCUGUUGUAUGAUUAAUACUUGUUUGUGGUUCCUUCUGGUUUUCAAAAGAAAACUUACUUCACUGGUGUUCCCAAUAAUUAGAUUAUAAUGUAAGCUGUUAAUCUGUACAUCAAGAAAGCAUGGCCACUUAAUGAUCCUCUUGUUGGGCACGGCUGGAUGUGCAUAAUUCAUGUGUUGUUCUGCAUUUAUACUCGUAUGUGUAAAGUUCUAUCUUUAUGUGCACCGCACACAACUUAGCUUAGGGUAAGCCUUACAGAGUUGACAUUCAUAUGUUGUUUAUUGCAAUUUCUAGUUUACAUGUCUAAUGUUUCAUUUGUUCUGUUUUCAUGCACUUGUAGACUGCUGUUAUUCCGAUUCGUGCAAAAGAGCUAGGUGAAAAAGGGCUGCACCUGGUGGCUAUGGCUUCUAGAAAGAACCCUAUGUCAUAUGCCUGUUUAUGGGGGUUUAUUGUGCAGUCACGGUUGUACGAGUCUUCUGUUAUGAUGCUGAACCUGAGAUGCCUUGGCAUUGUGUUUGAUCUUGAUGAAACGCUUAUAGUUCCUAAUACCAUGUGGUCAUUCAAGGACCAGGAUCAGUGCUCUUCAAUGAAAAUAAGUAAUGAAACAGAUCCUCCGCACAUUACCAGCAUGUUAGCAGAGAUUAAACAUUCCCAAGAUGAUAAAUUGAUCAUGAAACAAUAUGCAGACAGUGACCAGGUUGUUGAUAAUGGUAAGGUGUUCAAGGUUCAGUCAGAGGUGGUCCUACCUUUGUCUGAUAGCCAUCAAUUGAUCACACGACCAAUAAUAAGGUUACAUGCAAAAUACCAUCAUUCUGAUGUGUAAAUCCAUCGAUGCGAGAUACAAGUGUUCUUGUAUGAUUAAGGUUUGCAUGGGAGGACCUAAGGAGCUAUCUAACAGCAAGAGGUUGCAAGUGUUUUGAGGUAUAUGUUUGCACAAUGUCUGAAAGAGAUUAUGCCUUUGAAAUGUGGAGGCUUUUGGACCUAGAGUCAAGCUUGAUCAACUCGUUGAAACUUCUUGACCGCAUGGUGUGUGUUAAAUCAGGUCACUAUCGAUAAUGCCAAACAAGCAUUUUAACAAAGAAUUUUCAUGGGUACUGCAGAGACUUCCAUCAGGAGGAUACUCCAAAACUGAAACUCCUGUGCCUUGAUGACUACACUAUAAUCUGCCCUCCAUGGUUCUGUUAUGUAUCAGAAGAGCAAGCCAGUUGGAUUCUGGUAGGGAACUAAGAAAGAUUGUUGACUCUUGAUGCUGGAAAGGUUUUCAAAGGAGAAAGAGCUAAAUCUUAUCCAUUUUCGGGCACAACCAGCAAAUUAUCUUCAGUAAAUGAGCAUUUGGUUGUACAUAUGUCAUGGCACCACCUUGUUGCCUAAUGAUUGGGUGAUUCCGUGAAGGAAAUCAGUUACCUUCCCGGUCAAGAAGGUCAUCUCCAAUGCAUUUGCCAUUUGCUAAAAGCUGGUAAGUCGACUCGACUUGUCAUUGCCAAUUCCGUCACAUGGCAGCUUCAGAAAGAAGGUAAUAGCUUGAGUUGGUGCAUGUUCUUGUAGUUCUUUGUGCGGUCAAGGAUUACUAGACGUGAUUGUGCUGUUGAUCUUCACUCGAAGCAGCAUGUUGAUUUUCAAUUGGCAUGAAAUUUUCAGGAUGGAUUGCUUCCUUUUGCUCCAUAAUCACCUUGGCGGACAGAUGAACAUUGUCUUGAUAUCUCGCAGUUGUGCACGGUUGAAUAUUAGAUUCACUUGAAGCAUCAUGUCCAUUUGCUCCAUGAUCAGUGUUGGGCACAUCACUCUUGACAUAACCUUACUGCUUAUCAUUCACUGCGAGGUAGCAACUCUGCAGCCUGAUCAACAAGGACAAAUUGGCUCUGGUGGCUUCCGAGAUGUGUAAUCUGCUAGCCUCUGGCGGCUUUUCACCAUCAGCAAACGAUCAGCCUGUGGAUUAUAGAUU